UGGCUGCCCUUAACAUUUUUUCCUUCAUUUCAACUUUGGUGAAUCUGACAAUUAGAGUUUCCAGUUUUUCUGUUCUGUUUUUUCCCCAUCUUUGUGGUUUUAUCUACUUUUGGUCUUUGAUGAUGGUGAUGUACAGAUGGGUUUUCGGUGUGUAUGUCCUUUCUGUUAGUUAGUUUUCCUUCUAACAGACAGGACCUUCAGCUGCAGGUCUGUUGGAAUACCCUGCCUUGUGAGGUGUCAGUGUGCCCCUGCUGGGGGGUAGUAGUGAUCAAAACAGACAAAAACCCUUGCCCUGCUUGAACUUGGUAAUACCAGAUUGUGGGCCUUUGCCCACACCCUUUGCUCUGCCUGAGGCUUUCUCUCCAUCUCCCCAUUAUUCUGCCUUUGCCUGAUCAACUCUUACUCUUCAAGACAUACAGAACAUGCUUUUUAGUGAGGUAGGAAGCCAGGUAGCAGGUAUGGUACAAAAAAGUAAGGCCAAUCAGAGACAUCUUGAUGCAAACCUGUCAACUCAUUCCCUUCCCAGGAGAAGCAGUGCCAGCCUGCUUGAGCCCCACUAAUCAAUCAAUCUAUCUAUCUAUCUAUCUAUCUAUCUAUCUAUCUAUCUAUCUCUCUGUCAUCCAUCUAUCUAUCUAUCUAUCUAUCUAUCUAUCUAUCUAUCUCCUACCUACCUACCUACCUACAAAUCAAUCUGUUUCUCUGGAGAACCCUGACAUAUAGUGAGGAAGGCUGAGUACUUACGGAGGGGUUGAGGGGAGCUAGAAAAGAUAAAAAAAGAGACAGACAAACUUCUUGAGAGCAGGGCAGGAUUCAAGCCCCAGAAAGGAGUGAAAAAUAAAAGAGAAGAAUAUUUCAUGUUUUCUGAGGUCUUAGGAUGUAGCUCUGUAACUUCAAUAUUAUUUCUACCUCAAAUUGCAACUUCACAACUAGAACUAGACUCAACUAACGCUUGACACAUUGAAAAAUUGUGCUCUAAUCAAAAUGAAAACAUUAGGUCAAACCAUAUGAAAUUACUAACAUUUGACAUUCAUUUUUUGCUAAAAAACCCAGUAAUUUUAUAUAGUUCAAUGGAAUAUAAAUUAGAUUAUUUAUAAAUGUGGAUUCCACUUAUAAAUACAAGCUGUUUUCUUGAAUAUCUCAGGACCAAGUCCAUGUAUGACAACUUGAGAGAGGUGGAGUCUAUGUGAUCAGGUAUUAACCUUGUCCUGGUCAGGGGGAACAUUGUGGGUAGGCCACCAGGUCAGCACAUUUAAAGAUAUCCAUUUAAAGGCAAUAGUUAACAAUUGCUAACAGUUAUUAAAUGCAAACACUGUUAAGACAGUCUAGUCACCACACUUAUAAUAUUAUUUGUUUCUCACAAAAUACUAUGAGAUAGGUACUACGAUCAUUGCCAUUUUACCAUUGAGGAAACUGAGGACUAAAAAAUGCAAAUGACUUGCCCAAAGUGGUAGAUCCAGGAAUGGAGUCCAGGCAUAUCUGGCUCACAGGCCCACACCCUAACAACUCAUGCUGUACUGCCCCAGAUACAGCAUAUAGUUACCAAGAGUUGGAUCUAAUGGGAACUAGAAAUCCAAAGUCCAUGGAUAUGACUCAUCCAGAAAACAAAAGCUACUAUACAUAGAGCAGAGGAUCAGGUACCGAGAAUAUCAGACCAAUUUUUCUAGAUAGUUUUUUUCUAACUCCUACUAUUAUGUUCAUUUCUUCUUUCAUCCAAAAUAAAAUUUAUUAAUACUAUAUGUGCAGGCAUUGAUCUAGGUAAGUGGGAAUCAUCUUUGAUUCCUGUCUUCCCAUCUUCCCAUCUUUGAUCAAGGCAGACAAAAAUCUCUGCACUUGAGGAGCUUAAAUCCUAGAUAGGGAAACAGAAAAUAAGCAUAAUAAAAAGAAAUUAUACAGCAUGUUAUAGAGUGGUAAAUACAUUGUACAAAAUAAAAUAUAGAUUAGUACAGUGCUUCAGGGGGUACUGUGCUAAGGUAGGUGGGAGGCAAGAUUCAGCAUGAAAUAGCAUGGGCAGG
rnacentral:lncRNA from 1 species